GUAGCCAUUUUAGCGGUCAUCGCUACACAGCCGUUAGAAAAAGACCCAUCCGUUCCAACCGUCUCCUAGCAACGGCGGAGUGAUACUGACCCCCUCCGCAACCGCCGUCAAACUGCAACUGCAACAAAACUAACAACAUGUUUGAGGUGGGAUGAUGGUACAACACAGACGGCUGCAGAGCAAGUGCACUUUGGAGCUAGAGUACGAAGUUUGAAGGAAAACGUGUUAAAAACCACAAACGGUCGUCAGAGCGCUUCAGCCGAGCUGUAAUCUGGAAGUCGUUAACAGAAACUGUAACAGAGCAGAAAGUAGAGAAAACGUCAAGCAGCGCAAGUGAGAUGGACCUGUUCUGUCAAUGAGAGGCUUCGGAUGAACAUCGGCGAUCAAACGGCAUCAUGAAGACCAAGGAGCUCAGCAGAUGAAGCUACGGAGAAGUUUAAAGUGCGCUUGGAGGAUGACCUCACAGCGCUCGGGCCGGCUUCCAGGCAGCCAGCAGAACCUGCUCCCUUCUCCCAGAUCCCUCUUUCUUCUCCUCGCUAUCUGCCUAUCGUUGUCCCUGCGCCUGCAACUGUAUCCCGACUCCAUUGUAUCUUUUUCACAUGCCGACAUCUACUAUUCAGGGUUUCCAUCUGUUUUGGUGACCCCCCCCCCACCUCCUGCUUCCCUCCUUCGUUUGCCGCCUUUAUUAAACGACCCCCCGUCCCUCUCUCAUUCUAUCUCUUUGUCUCUCUAUCUCUGUCUUUUCUCCCUCCCUUGCGCUUUGUUGUCUAAACAAAGUGGCCUUUAUCAGGAUGAGCUGCAACCCAAACAAGCCAAACAAAAGAUAUGGGCGAGAAAAUCUGCCCGCAGAAGAGGGGAGGAUCUUAUCGUGCCAGCCUUUGUGUGCCAGCCUGCCAACUGGCGAUGCCCCCCCGCCGCCGCCAACCCCUCCCCAAAUCUCUCACACACACACAUUAAUAUGCCAAAUUCUGGCACCGCCGCAAUGAGCUGGCACCUGACCUGGCCGAAAGGAAAGCAGGGGUGACGGAGAAGACGAACCGUUCGACGGAGGAGGGAAGGGGGCGCCAUCUUUGAGAUGGUGCUCUCCUGACGAGCGAUAAAUCAAGAACCGAGGAGCAGGAUCCGCUGCAGAUACGCCGUUUCCACUUUACGUUAGAGAGUCACCGCUCAGGCUUGCGCUGGACCCGAUGCCGAGUUCCAGUUUUCCAUCACCACAGAGCGGGACGGACACCAUCGCUCCUAAUCAGAUCAGAAGACACGCGGCUACACAUGUCGCUACUGGUGGAAUAAAUAAGGAAUAAACCGAACGGACCACAAAAGAGAAAACAGGUUCUUUGGUGUAGAGGCAGAUUGUCUCAAUUUCUACAUCAGUGAUGUGUGAGGGACUGUUGCAGAGUCAAAGAUCCAGUUCAUCCUUGGAAAGGCACCUUUUCUACCCGGCGGUGUUUUCUAAACCUCUGAGUUUUGACAGCAUUGAAUCAUUUCUGGGUUUACAAAAGUCCAACCAGCUACUAGGUUUAGGGAGCAAUUGCUCUUUUAUCCUGGGUCAUGCACAUUUACAUUUUUUGCUCCCUUAAUAAUGAAACACUUCAUCUAAAAACUGCAGUUUGUGCUAUAACUUGUGUCGCCUUCGACUAUCGUUUAAAUUGGCUUGACGUUCUGAAACACUGACGUGUGACAAACAUGCAUAAAAAUAUGAAAUCGGGAAACACUUUUUUUUUUUUUUACAUGUGACUGGAUUUGUCUGAGCUGAAUUUGGAUGGAACUCGAUCCAUUUGUCUUGAUAUUUGUUGUAAUGCGAUGCUACAUUAGUAAGACUGAAUUUGUCGUACCAACUAAACUUAAAUGAAGUCAUCUGCAGAUCUGUUUAUAAACCCCGACUCAUCAAUCAGCAUCUCCGGCUGGAGUUUAUAAUUCCACAACGUCCCGUUCUCAGGCGCUGUUGGAAAUCCUGAUUAGAGACACUGAAACAAUGACUGAAUGGUUUGUAAACUACGAUAAUGUGUUAUUAUUUUUGAACGACUUUUGACACAAGUGACCUUUGACACGAAAGAGGAAGAGGACAGAAGAGGAAGACGUGCAGCAGAUGGCCCGAUUCCAGGAAUCGAACCCGGGACAACUGCGUUGACGGCACAACUGACUGAGCCACCCAGCAUCCAAAUAUACUGAUAUUUAAAAAGAUCAUUUCCCCAUCUUAUGUGGGAAUAUAACUGGUAUUCAGCAUCUACAUUCACAUUUUUUCUAGCCGAACUUGAAAAGUCAUUUGUAGCUCUGAAUGGCUCCUGCUUGAAGCGGUGUGUUUAAAUCCUGUCCGCAGUGUCGGCGGGAGCUUUAACAAACACAAUUUGCAUUUAUAAACUGAACUGAUGAUAAAAAAUUGUCAUAUCCUGUGAUUAGACAUCACUGUUGAUGCAGAAGGUGUUUAUGAAUCCUGACUGCUGUUUAAAACAGAGUUUAUAAGCUCUACUGAUGAGCCAGUGACAGAUAACUUGAUUUGUCGGCUGCGAUCCUCUGCAGAAAUUCAAAAGACAACAGAGGGAGGUUUAAACAUUUACCAGAGGAGACUUGAGAACUCUGAACCUGCGGACAAACUGGUUCUUCGCUUUUGAUUUUAAUAGUACAAUUAGAGACGCGCUUUGUGCCAAAGACAGAAACAUCUUGACGGUGAAACUCUCUGCACAGGCAGAAAUAAAUAGCAGAGAUCCUAGUCAUCUCCAACUGCACUUUACACUCUGUGACACCGUAAUGAUUAUCUCAUAAUUGGAACAAGGGAGGCCUUUCUUAUUGGCCUUAAAGCAGCAGCUGAAAGCCUCCCUAUCAAAUAACCGCUGGCAGGUACAGAAAACCACAAACACUCAGAUGAAAGUGACAGAAAAAGGAGGGAAAAAAGGUGAGAAGGGGCAAAGUUGAAAUGUCUGGGCAAAGACGAAACGUCUGCGCAAACAAUUAAAUGUUGCGCUCUUUUUCUGUAAGGCGCACUCAAGACUCGGUACGUCUGUCACGGUUUGAAGACGAGGGGAAUCAAGUGGGAUCCGGGCCCAGAAGGGAACAAUGAGGACCCUGGCAGAGCGCUGUCUGUGAGCGCGGUCGAUUGUGCGUGACCCAGCUCGCUUGUAUCUCUCGGCGUCCAUGUUGGUCUCGCCGACAAGAGCACGCUCAGGCCUUCUGCUGCCACAAUGUGUCUGUGUGUGUGUGUGUGUGUGUGUGUGUUUGUUUCUAAUCGCCGCAUACUAAUGCGGGCGAAGAGCGGGCCCUCUUUCUUCUUUCCCCCGCCGAGUCUCCGUGCCUUCUCCUCCGUAAACUCUCACGGCAGUGAAAAGAGGCGAGCGUUUUAACUGAGCCAGGAGGACAACAGGCUCCUCAUUGAGGUCACCAAGCAGCACGGAUGGGGAGGGAGCUCAUUCUGCGGCGAGUGGGCCCCGAAUGGCACGCUGAAUGGCCCGGCAGAUCAUUAGCCACACCGGCCCCGGGGACGAGGACUGGGGGGUGGGGGGGAAACCUGGCCAGGACAAAGCCGGGAAACCAAGGAUGCAGAUGAGGGUUAAUCCACCCAAAUUCAACUUCCCCACCUUUUUUUUAAAAUUCAGGAUGUGAAGUUUACCCACCUCUGAGCAGAUGCGUGCAUCUGCAAAGGCAGCCUCCAUUCAUGCAGUCAUGCUACAUUUGCGCAUUAAACGUACACGCGGUGACAUACAGAACACGUGUGCGCACACCGAGGCACGCACCGGGCGCCCCGCGGAGAGCCGCCACGCACGGCGCGGGGCGGUCGGCGAGCGGGCUGCAGACAAACCGCAGCGACACGACGUGACACAGUGGCUCAUCUGUCCGAUGAAAAAUGAGCAGGCUGGUCUCCAGUCAGCACACUGCGCCCCCCGCUUAAUGUUUCCACCUCCUCCCGCUCCCCCCAUGUUUGCCCUUUUCUCACAAUGUGGUCUUUCCUUUCGCUUAUUUAUUACACUCUUUUCUUUUUUCCCCUUUCUGUUCUUGUCACUUUGCUCUCAGCUUGUUGCCCCAACUGGGCGAUCUUUCACAAGAACCUGACGACCGUAUUAAAGGGGGGGCAGUGGGGGGCUCCUUUUAUUAAUAUUAUGCCUUCAGUUCUAAAGCGUUAUUGUUCAAGCUACUUUAAAUUAUUGUUUUCCUCACUAUGGUUGAAACCUGUCGGUUUGUGACUCCAAAUAAGACUUUUUAAAACCUAACAUUGGACUUUUUUUUAAACAUUUUUACAACCAAUGUUUCUCUUUAGCAGGACACUUACGCCCACACAGCAGAGUUAAACUUGUAUUUUAUGCACAUUUUUAAAACAUAUCUAGUAGUUCUAUCAAUAAAAUGCAAGUUUAUAAAGUUUUAUGAUUGCAACUUUUAAAUUUAACAUUUUUUGGAAUAUAUCUGAAUGGGUGAGUCAGGUUUUAAAUGUAUUUAAUCAGAAACAACGUAAAAAAUCUUACAUUUAGAUAAAAGCAACCAUUGUGCCAAGCAUAUAGACCCUCUAGCAGAAAACUAAUUUGCAGACUCAGCCCUCAUUUAGGUUAUUUUGAGGCAGCAAUACUUUUCAGACGCUUCUAGUGACUUUUUUCAAAAAAAAGCAAGUAGUCACAAAUCUAGCAACUUUUUAUUUAUUUUUUUAUUACUGGAAACGUUGACGAUGAAAGCAACAACAAAACUGCAGUAUCUGUCCUGACUGAGCGAGAAGCGAGUGUUGCUGUAAGCCUCCAUCGCUUCCUCAGCGCUGCAGUCAGUCUCACACAGACGUCCUGCAGCAAACACUGCAGAUAAAUCACACACGUGAAACGUUUAGAGAUUCUAUCGAUCAAGGUGUGUCAAAGUGAGAUGAUUUUAUACCCAAACGCUGGGCCGAGUGACGAAAACGUCAACCGAGCCGUGUCGUUUUAACCAAUAGGAAAAUUCAUCUGCAACGGUCACCGUUCGACCCACAGGUGGCAGCACUGAGACGGUUUAAGACCAAACAAUGCAGAGUUAAAUCUUUAUGAAAGUUUCAACUCUCCGCCUGGAUAUUUUUGCUUACUUUAAUUGCACGCAGUCCUUUAAAUGUCCUGUGAGUAAAUAUAUAUUUGCCCAUUUAUCAAUAACAACUGGAACUUUCGACAUCUACCAACUUAUUUUCGCAAUUUACCGUGUACUAAAAGAGCGCCCCUCAGAUUGAUUUCGCUUCCUGCUAUGGCGCGGGUGAAAUUACCGUAAUAACUCGAUAUUGCCUGGAAAGCUGGACGAGAAAAAAUCUGAUCUUUCGAAUUUAAUGGACAGCCUUAACAUUUACACAUGAUUUUGUCAAACAAAAGAAGUUAGGAUUCAUAUUUUUUUACAUUUUGACGCUUAAAAUUCAACUUGAAAAUUCAACACAAUAACUAUAACUUGACUGCAAACAAAACAAAAACCACUGACAGUUUUGGUGCGAUUUGAGGGGAAACUUUUUAUAGAAACAGAAAAGCAGUGGUCCGUAAAUGGAACCUUGUGGUACACCUAAUUUGCAGUUUUGAAAGGUUGAUCUGACACCGUCAACUUUAAAUCAUCGUACUCAGGACUAAACAGAUGCUGUGAGAAAUUUAACUUCUAAUUUAAUUUUAUAGAAUCUAUCUAAAUCCUCCAGUAAUUCCCUGGUUUUGAACGUAAUAACUGUGCGCGCGUUAAUCCAUCUUUACGUUUUCCAGGAGUAAGUGACUGAAGUGUGGUCCCACCAUUCACACGUUCAGUCGGCGUCUUGUCUGGCCCGUGAGAAAAAAAGAGGAACUUUGCAUCUGUGUUGAAACAAAAGCCCCAUCAACAGCCAGACUUGCAUCUAUUUUUUUCUUCUCUCUCUCUCUCUCUCUUUUUCAGUGUGCACCAAACAAACAAUUAGCUUUGUUGCAGUGUAAUUGACUGGCAGGACCGGCUGGCAUUUACAUUCGCCCGCUGUUGCCACCCUGCCAUUCGGCGGGCCUGGAUGAAAGGGAAUAAGGUCCGUACAAGGGUGCGAGGUUGGCCACGUCUCUCUUACUUCCAAGCUUUUUUUUUCUCCCCUGGUGGCAAACUUCCAAGCAGGAGCAUUUCUUUUUUUUUUUUUUUUAAAGGAAGGAGGGAAGGGCGGGUGGAGUGAGGACGAGACUAUGGAUUUAAUUAUGCAUGCGUGUUUUCCCAUUCAUUGUAGCGGUGGGAAGGAGCGACGGCAGGGGUGUAACGCGGGGUGGUUGAAGGGGUGCAGGGGGGGCAGACCAAUGACAUUCCGUCGUUGUAGACCUCCUCCUACACACAAACACACACAUACAGGCAGCAGUCUGGGAGCGAGCCGCUAUAGGCUAAUGAGGUGACACUCACCGUCUGGAGACCAGCCAAAACAGUCCAUUAACUCCUAGCCAGUAGUUAAGAGGAGAAGAAGGAGAAAGGUGGAGGAGGGGAGGGGACAAGAGGAGGCAGAUGAGGGAGUGGGCAAAUGGGUGAGGUAGGUGGCUAGAUGAAGGUGGGAGGAGUUUAUGGGGGGGUCUGGAGUCUCAGGAUGUGAGAGUGGGGGGUAUUCCUGCAGUUUUGUAGUUGUGAAUGAAGCAGUGGGGUGGCUGAAAGAAGGGAGGGGGCUUUGCACGAGCGUUCACUGCUGGCGAUUAUGCUCUGAGGAGAUUUGUGUGUGGGUAGCAACGAAUGAGGGAGGAUGGCGGAGAGAGAUCCAAACCCACCCCCUUGUCCCGUCC